GAGUUUGAUCAUGGCUCAGGAUGAACGCUAGCGGCAGGCUUAAUACAUGCAAGUCGAGGGGCAGCAGCUUUAUAGCAAUAUAGAGGCUGGCGACCGGCAAACGGGUGCGGAACACGUACACAACCUUCCUUGAAUAGGGGGAUAGCCCAUAGAAAUGUGGAUUAAUACCCCGUAAUAUAGCGGUGUGGCAUCACACUGUUAUUAUAGUUUCGGCGAUUCGAGAUGGGUGUGCGGCUGAUUAGGUAGUUGGCGGGGUAAAGGCCCACCAAGCCUUCGAUCAGUAGCUGAUGUGAGAGCAUGAUCAGCCACACGGGCACUGAGACACGGGCCCGACUCCUACGGGAGGCAGCAGUAAGGAAUAUUGGUCAAUGGACGCAAGUYUGAACCAGCCAUGCCGCGUGAAGGAUGAAGGUCCUCUGGAUUGUAAACUUCUUUUAUAGGGGGCGAAAAAAGGUCUUUCUAGAUCACUUGACAGUACCUU
rnacentral:rRNA from 1 species